UGUUGAUCGAACUUUGACAUUAAUAAUCUCGAAAUCUCAGUCUCGCAAUGCACACACAAAAUAAAACAGAGAGCCAACUCUGGAAACUAAUACAAACACUGUCCUGAUAGAAGAAUUUAUGAAUACAGUGCAUCCCGCCAUGGGGAAAACGCAGACUUAUAUUAACAUCUUCUUCCAUCCUUCAGACCAUUUUUAAUGUGUAAAGGAAACCCUUCUGAAGCCAAAC
rnacentral:misc_RNA from 1 species